ensembl:lncRNA
GUGAAGUAAAUUGCGGUAUUUCAUAAGUUUUAUAGUUGAUGUUCAAAAUAUUAAAAUAUGUCUUUGUCCCGAUUUUGAAAGUGAAACAUUUUUACAUUUAUUGAAUUGUUAAAUGAUGUUUGUGUGUUUCAGAGUUUUUUGUGUGUGUGUCUAAUGCAUAUACUGUAUUGCAUAAUGUCUUUUGAGAGUUAUAAUAAGGGCUUGGGGCUUUCCUUACUAGAAGAGAGCUCCCUGAGUACAUGAUCUUUCUUGUUCACCCUUAUAUGUUCAAGCCUGGAAUAUAGCUCAUGCUCAACAAAUGAAAGACCAAAUUUUCUUUUAUCAGGCCCUUCAACUGAACAAAACAAUGACUGAAACAAACACAAUGGAAUUAAUAUUCUCUUCACAGCUAAACAGAUCUUUUAUUCUCUCUCCCAGGCCUGAGGCCUCAUGCCUGCUGCUUUAGAAGUAAAGAUUUUAAUCUAAAUUUAAUCAUAAUAUGGGAUGAAGAGGAACUUCAGCAUAAAGCCUCUUUAAAUACUGCCUGCUAUGAAGAGAGAUUUAGCAAUAGCCUUGUCUACCUCAAACUGAUUGAAACCACCAACCCCUUCAUUUGGCCUGCACAGGUGUCCAGUUGGUGAGCCCUUACUCUCAGAUGGCCAAAAACUCCACCCUCAGCUCAGGCCACCCCAUCUCUUCAUCCCACAAAUAUCCACCACCGUGUUGACCAGAAGAGUCAAGAUCUUGGGGGUUUUUGUUGGUUGCUGCCUGCCUCCAAGUAUGGUAUAUCUGAGGGAUGGAACUCAGGACCUUUCACUUUUGAGGCAGGCGGCAGCACCACUGAGCUAAAUCUCCGGCUCCACAAAGACCAAGAAAAGGGAGCUACAUGUAUCUGCAGCAAGGACCUUGCACUUUCGAGGCAGGAGGUGGAACCACUGAGAAAUCAUCUUCCAUACCUUGCCUAUGAAAGUGUUCUUCUUGCCACUGUUGCUCCUAGAAGAGGUUUAUUUACAUACAUUGUUUGUAACUUGUAAUCACAAUGACUCUUUUUUCCACCAGGGUUGGAUAAUGGUGGCUGUUUGUAAUAUGCCA